UGAAACGUCCAAGUCGUCCGUUUCACAAACUACACCGAUAAGUAAACCAUCAGGGUCCUUAUUGCCAGUUUUACGUAAACCUGAAGAUGUUUUUAAAAAGUGCUGGACAUUUGAAGAGAGAUGAUAUUGAUGAUGAUCCACUCUUACAGGAAAUCGUAUCACUGUUACCACUUGGUGAUUUUAACAGUUUCAACAAAGUGGAGGAAUAUUUGAGCACCGCAAACAAUUUGAAGUCAUUUGUCAUUUGCGCGAUAUUUAAGUCGUACUGGAGGGGAAUCGCCUGAAUUAAUGGCCA